rnacentral:lncRNA from 1 species
UGCGGUUGGAUGGAAUGACCAGGCAAAAGAGCUCUGGGGGUAUUCCUCCUCAUUCUGCUAUGAUUCCCGAGGCCUGAGCAGAUUAAAGAUAGGGUUGAUUCUGCAGUUAGGGGUAACUGCUCAGCUUGCGUCUUCAUCUCUCCUUCCGACUUCCCGAUGGGUAACCGACAUCUGAACCAUCCAUGUUUCCCCUGCAGAAUUACCUCGUCGGUCUAGAAGGUGACGUGGAUCAGUAAGCUGGUGGCAAUUUUGGCCACCGC